UGGGGAAUAUUGGACAAUGGGCGAAAGCCUGAUCCAGCCAUGCCGCGUGUGUGAAGAAGGUCUUCGGAUUGUAAAGCACUUUAAGUUGGGAGGAAGGGCAUUAACCUAAUACGUUAGUGUUUUGACGUUACCGACAGAAUAAGCACCGGGUAACUCUGUGCCAGCAGCCGCGGUAAUACAGAGGGUGCAAGCGUUAAUCGGAAUUACUGGGCGUAAAGCGCGCGUAGGUGGUUUGUUAAGUUGGAUGUGAAAUCCCCGGGCUCAACCUGGGAACUGCAUUCAAAACUGACUGACUAGAGUAUGGUAGAGGGUGGUGGAAUUUCCUGUGUAGCGGUGAAAUGCGUAGAUAUAGGAAGGAACACCAGUGGCGAAGGCGACCACCUGGACUAAUACUGACACUGAGGUGCGAAAGCGUGGGGAGCAAACA
rnacentral:rRNA from 1 species